CUUAUUUGGUGUGUGUCGCGCGCGUGGGCAGGGGCGGGGUCCCGGGACUGGCAGGAGCCUCGGGUCGCGCGCUUCCUAGCGCGGUGGGGCCUGUGGGCAGACGGGGCGAAAGGCUGCAGCGGUUCCGGGCCAUCGCUGCGGGGCUGGCAUUGUAUCUGCGGAGGCAUGUACAGUUUCGCUGAGUGAGCACUGGCAGGGUGAGGUCCUGGCGUCGUGCAGCCUUCCUCACCGGCGCCGCCAGGCGGGUCCCUGAGGAGCCCGGUUCCCCAAGCUUCGCGUGCUGGGCCCAGGCCUGUCUGGCUGCCAGGACGCGUUGCUGUAGCGAUGGCCUUGGGGACCCCCGGUUGUCAGGUGCGGUACCUGUGCUGGCUGAUUAUCUCAAACCGACACCAAACUACGGAAAUAACGUGGCCUAAAGCGCGUUGAGUUUUAGGAGGUCUGGGCUCUUCGGCAGUAACUUGAAAAUAGGUUCUAUUAGAACACUUUUUAACUUUUAGCACUCACGUGAUAGUAGCUCUUGGUACGCUGUCAAAUAGACUUUUACUGCGUUAGUUUUAGAGGUCAAACAGGAAAAUCACAGACACGGGUAUGUAGAGAUAAACUCUGAGACAAUGAGAGUUAUCUGUACUAGAUUGUGGAUCACUUUCCUGAAUUUGAUGAUAGCAUGUAGUCUCGUGCUCUGGAAGAAUACUGGUGAGGUUAAUGUUUUGUACCUUGUUGUGUAGGAGUUCAGACUUUGUUAUGUAGGAAUUCUUAGAAUAUGUUUAACGUGGUAAUGAUUUUUACAUGCUGCUACAGAGUACAAAUUUGAAGAUGUUAAAAACUUACACAGAGUGACUGAGAAAUGUGGCUGACACAGAGGAGCAUCCCAUGCUUCCUUUGGCAGAACUUUGAUCUAACUUGCCCAUCAAGCAUCCCCCCGGUCCAUAUGAUAAAUUAUGUAAGCGAAAGCUCCAAUGAAUUUUCCUCUGAAGUGUCUGGAGUGACUGGAGACUUGAACUGUGUGGUUCAUUUGUGCUGCUUUGGCAGUUGUAAGCGAAGUUGUAGUUACUAACCUGUAUAUUGUCUUCAACACCCCUUCCGCAUGCCUCAGAGAUCAGUUUAAUACUAGACAGUGUGUGGGAUUACUUUAAAACAAACAAAACCAAAAUAUUAAAUUGGCAUCAUUUUAUCGGUACAAACAAACAAGGUUAUUACUCUAUACAAGUUGCUUGUGUGGGGCCUGUUGGUUCUUUUUUGUAUUUGUUUAACAGUUCUGAACUUAGGAAGUAAGUCUGGUAUUGGUGACCUCUCUGCCUCAGUCUCCUAAGAGUGAAGUGAGCAUUUAAAGACAUGACAAACCACGUUGAGCUGUCUGAAGUUCUUUGCAAUUAAAUUUUCUAGAUAUUAAGAUAGUCUUCAAGAAUUUAGUAACUUUUACAAAGGAAAAGUUUUAGAGACACAAGAGAUAAACUCAGAGAUUGGAAAAGAUCGGUAAGUAAUAAUGUACUUUUCUUCCCCUUUCCAGUAAACUACGGGAUGCUUUUAGCUAAUGGAUCAUAAACUGCAAGCCAAAGUUCUUGAUCAUUAUUUUAAAUAAUGGCAAUGUUAUUUCCAGUGUGACUGCUAUUGUUACAAAUGUGUCUGGUACAAUUAAAGACCGAAGUGGUUUAAAUAAUUUUAUUUAUUUAUUUGUGUGUGUGUGUGUGUGUGUGUGUGUGUGUGUGUGUGUGUGUGUGUGUGUGCUUGAGACACAGGGGUGUCACUGCGGUUGGGGUGGAGGUCAGAGGACAACUUGCAGAAAUCAGUUUUUUCCCUCUACCAUGUGGAUUCAUGGCUCUUAGGAUUUCAGAUAGUCCGACUUGGCUGCAAGCACCAUUACUUGCUGACUCAUCUCAACUACCCAAGCCCACAGUGCUUUGAUACCAGUCAUCUAAUUUUAAAAAUAUUUAAUUUUAUGUAUGUGUGUAUGUACUGGCGCCUGAGUGGAUGUGUGGGAACCAUGUUCAUGCAGGAACCCUGGAAGGUCAGGAGAGUCAUCAGAUUUCCAUGGAGCUGAAGUUACAGAGUGGUGUGAGCCACCAUGUCGGUGCUUGGAACCAAACCCUGGUCCUCUGCAAGAGCAGUUAAGUGCUCUUAACCUCCAAACCACCUCUCCAGUCUCCCAGUGAUCUACUUUUGUGGUCAGUGUUUUCUAUUGCAUUAUUGUCUGGAGACAUUUUUGUUGUCAAAUAAAUGGUAAUGUGAGAAAUCCACAGAGUCUGCUUAAAGGGCAAAGGAAUUUAUUAGGGGAGAAAAACUCACUGUACAGAACAGAAUUGUCACGGGUUCUGGAAUGCUGGAACACAGUCUCACGUGGUUCCUGCCAUCUAAAUCAGUCCUGCAUCCAAGUCCCAUGAGGGAGCGAACAGCAAGUGUAUGUGCAUCUCAGGUCUCAAGGGUAGCCAAGAGGCCACGCCCCAGAGGCAUAUACUUCAAGGCAGAUAGAGUAGUUUUCUGCUACGGCUCUAGGGCUGCACUUCAGGGUCAUAGAACUGAUAUCCACUACAAAAUGGGGAGUGGAAUGCUAUUGGUUUCUAGAAGUAUGCUAUGUUGUACAAAACACUACAACAGGGAAUUAGCAGCAGCUCCAAAUGCUAAUGAGCAGUUAAAAAAUGCCUACAGAAUUCUCUUAUGUAGUGUGGUUUUAAACAUAAAAGCUUAUUAUUUAUACUAUGUACAGAGAAAGUGUACAUUUAAAUGUAUGCUAUCUUAUGGCCAUAAUGUUCAAAAUGUGAAGUCAAUUUGGAGGAAUAUCUUCUAUUUCACUAUUAUUAGUAAACAACUGAUUUACAGUAGAAUUACCCAAAUUUGGGAUAAUAGAAAUAUUUUCCAGAAUAUUUCUUAAUUAAAUUGAGAAAAUGUGUCCUUACCUAAUAAUCGGAAUUAAUUCCUCAUAGUUAUUCUAUUAAGUGCUCUAGCAUUUAUGUCCUGGGACAUGGUAUCCAUCAUGAUUCAGUAUAGGUAAAGGAUAUCCCUUUUGUAAAGACUAUAAAGGCAAUUUGUGUGUACCACAGUACUGAGAGCAGUAACUAAUGCAAGUGAUUUACCUGUUAGUGGUUGUCCAAUGGACAGAUAAAUAAACAACUGAAGGAAUAAACCCUUUAGGAUAAAAAUAAUGUAUUAAUCCAGGCUACAAAUGGUAUUAGCAGUGAAGUUACUGCGAUACAUAUCCAGAAUGUGCCAGUUCUAUGAAUGUGAAAGACAAGCAACAGAGAUUGUGUCUCCUAGUAAUAUGAGAAGCUACUGCCAUAAAAUCUCAUCAGCAUAACUGCCCAAAUAUGAGCUGAACAAAGAUACCACCAAUAGACAGGCCAAAGUAGAUGGGGAAAAGCCCAUGAGCCUUAACCCUAUAAUAUAGGCAACUGAGAAAAGCUGGAAGCAGGAGAGGGGAUCCUCCUCAGGAAAAAGCACACCAAUUGGUUAUUCAGUGGCAAAUGGUCAGCCCUGAAAACACACAUACAAGUAGCAUUAUAUGGCCUAAGCAUGUUGUAUUUAGGAAUAUAUGUAUAGACAUAUGCACAGAUGCAUGCAAUAACUAUUGCUGAAAAAUGAGGCCAUGGAUUUGAAUGAGAGUGAGGAGGGCUAGGUAGUAGGGUUUGAGGGGAGGAGAAGGAAGGGAGAAACAGUGUAAUGAUAAACACAAAAAGUAAAAAAUAAAAUGGAAAUGGAAGACAAGCACCAAGAAUACCUGCAUGAAAAGUACAGUUUCUCUAAUUGUGUUAGGGCCAUUCUAACAAAAGUGUCACAAACUGGGUGACUUCUAAAACAAUUACGUUUCACAGAGUUCUGAAAGCUGGAGAGUGUUCUGAAAGUACAAGUUUGAUGUCUAGACUUCUGAAUCAUUGUGGUGAUUUUGUGUUGUAACUUAAUAAAAUUUGCCUGAAGAUCAGUGGACAGAACAAGCCACUAGAUUAAACAUAGAUGCCAGGCAGUGGUGGCACACACCUUUAAUCCUAGCACUUGGGAGGCAGAGAUCUGUUUGGAUCUCUGUGAGUUCAAAGCUACCCUGGACUACAUGAGAAUGAUUCAGUCUAGGAGGGAAAUAGAGCCAGGCAGUGGUGGCACACACCUUUAAUCCCAGUAUUUGGGAUUCGCAAGCCUUUAAUCCCAGCACUUGAGAUUUCAUGCCUUUGCUGCCAGUAUUGGGGAAGCACACAGCACACGCACCAUUAAUCCCAGCACUAGGAAGGAAGUGAAAUGGCUGGGUGGAGAAAGACAUAUAAGGUGUGAGGAGACAGGAACUAGAUGCCCUUUCUGCUGAGGACUCAGAGGCUUUCAGCCAGAGGAUUCGAGGAGAUAGGAUCUCGUCUUCCAUUCCUUCUGAGGAUUCGGUAGUGAUGAGAAGUUUCUCUAGUGGCUUGUUCCUUUGUCUCUCUGAUCUUUCAGCAUUUACCCCAAUAUCUGGCUCUGAGGGUUUUUUUUUAUUAUAAGACCAUUUAGGAUUAGUGCAAUAGAUCAUGAAUGUACAUAUUUCUUUACCCAAAAUACUGAUUUCAUUAUAACAUAUAUAUGCACACACACAUAUUUCUGUCUUAUCUUUAUAUGGCAAAAGGGAAACAGAUAUUUCUGAACUCCUUCUAAGGACACUAAUCACACCCCAAACAUGCCUUGUCCAGAGUCCAUUACGUUGGGGGUUAGGCAUCACAGUAUGAAUUGUGGGGAUACAUCAGGGCAUAAUGUUAUUUAAUGGGUUGGGAGACAGAAUACAAUGAGGAAAGUGCAAGUAUGAUUCUAUACACUUUCUUCAGUGCUACAUUUCCUUUUUUAAACUUAACUGUUGAAACCUGUACUUACCUAUCAAAAUAUAGCUACUACUAUAUGUUAUUUUUGGUCUAAAAGAUUUACAUAGUCAUUUUUCUUAAAAUGGCAAGUGAUUCUUUUGUUUCUACCUUCAGUGCCUAAGAUUGAGAAACUUUGACAAUAUAACCAUUCUAUACUUGUAACCAAGUAUUGUUAAUUAUCUGACUUAUAUCUAUUAGAUUUACCUUAAGGCUAGGUUCUGUUGAAGUCUUUUAAGUUCAAUAUUUUAACAGAAUUUUAAAUACAUUUUAAAUCAACAACUCCAUACAUAGAUAUUUUCUGGUAUGACACAGUUGACUGUUGGGUGUAAAAAUAAGAUUGUCAAGGUCGUAACAACACAUCCAUGAAUUGGCUUGAGCUAACUGAGUCAUAAUGUUUGCCACUCAAGUAAAAAUAAUGCAAGUGAGCCCAAAUACAAAUGCAACAUAAUUCACAAUUUAGAGUAAUUCAUAUUAACAUGUAACAUUACCUGAUUCUCCACUUUGAUUAAGUUAAUUCAGGGAGGCAUAUUUCUUUUGCUUAAUAAUUUUUUAAAAAUUCGUUUUUCUAGUUUGUUUAACAGAGAAAAUAAUGCAUGUAAAACUGGCAUUUCACUGAGCAUUUGCUUAUGUACCCACUUGUUAAGACCUUUUGAAAAAUUCACCUAAAAUAUGUUUACCUGCAUAAAUUAACAUCAUUAUCAUUAUCUGUUUUUCAGGUUGGCAUAUAUACUGAAAAUGCCCAUUAGUUCAAGCCAACUACAAAAUUGUGAGGGUAUGGGUUCACAGAGUCACAAUUGCUGGGAAAAUAGUAAUAUACAUGAAAAUAUUAAGUGAGCAUAAAUAAAAAAUUCCUGUAGCUACAGACACCUUCCUUUGCCUCCAUAGAACUCCACUUAGGUGAGAUCAUAUACAGUAGGAAAAUUGUGUUUCACCCUCUCUGCCAGUUUGAUUUCCUUGUAAAGGCUCUUCCUGAGUUUCCUACCUCUUGUUGGUCUAUGGCCUGUAAGGGUGAUGUUCUUGCCAUCUCUCUUUGGUGAUAUAAAAAUAGACUACAGCGCUCCUUUGAGGAAGUAUACCAGAAAGCUAGAAGACCACCCUGCUGAGUAGCUGACAUCCCUCUGUGGUGUCCCUAGCAGGAUCUCAUGGAAACCACAUGCACAGAUAAGGGAUGUACUGUCUUCGACCUAAUGUCUGCCUGUGUCAAAGAUUGGCCACUGCUAAGGAAGGCCAGCUGAUUUUUCUACCCGGGUAUCAAAUACGUGUUUAAUGCUCCAAAUUAUAUACUCUAGAAAUACAACUUUUUUUUUUCUCUCUCAUGGAAAGACUUGUGGUAAAUUAAGAUUUCUCAGUAUCCAAGAUGUCUUCGUGUCAAGAGUAAUUUAGAAUCUUUAUGGAGAAAAGGUGAAGAAGACCUGAAUAAUGAUAAGAUCACCAUGUUCAUGGACUGCAGGGCAGGAUGGGAAUGAAGAAACAUGGAUUGCGGAUCACCAGGCCAGGUAGGACCAGAGAAAAUUCUGACUACAUUUGGUGCCCCAUGUUGGGCACCAGAUAAUGUGAUUAAAUCACUAGCAAUCCACAGAAUCAGCUUAAUGAUCAAAGGAAUUUAUUUGGUGGUAAACUCAGAACCACAGGAGAUUUAUCAUAGGGUCUGGGAAAGCUGAGCUAUGUCCCACACUGGAUGGCUUGGUCCAAGAUCUCAGCACCCAAACCAUGAGGUAGCCAAGAGUGCUGUGUAUGUGCAUUCCAGGUCUUAUGGGUCCUCGAGCAGCCAUGCCCCAGGGGCAGUUAUAUAGCUAGAGUUUUCCUGCCUGGCCCAUGGUCAGGGCAAAUCUCUCUCACCUACCAGUCCCACAGCCGCUCAGAGAACAACCAAGUAAACACAGAGACUUAUAUUGCUUACAAACUGUAUGGCUGUACCAGGCUUCUUGCUAACUGUUCUUACAGCUUAAAUUAAUCCAUUUCUAUAAAUCAAUACCUUGUCACGUGGCUCGUGGCUUACUGGCAUCUUCACAUGCUGUUUGUCAUCAUGGCGGCUGGCAGUGUCUCUGAUUCAGCCUUCCACUUCCCAGCUUUAUUCUCCUCCUUGUCCCGCCUAUACUUCCUCCUGCCUGACUACUGGCCAAUCAGUGUUUUAUUUACUAACCAAUCAGAGCAACACAUUUGCCAUACAGAACAUCCCACAGCACUUCCCCUUUUCUUUUUUUUUUCAAAAAGGAAUGUUUUAACCUUAACAAAGUAAAAUUACAUAUAAUUUGGGAAUUUGGGCGUAGCUUCUCUUACUGCUUCCUGCUGGAGGGGGGCGCUGUAUCUUAUGGGGACACAAAGAAAAUUUUAGAAUUAUGGAAUAGUCCAUGAGGCUGUAUUGUCUGAGCCAGAUGCCUUCAAACCAUUCUGGAUGUUGGAUCAUCUGGGUCAUGGUGUCAUCAGAGACCUUUCAGGGGGUCUUGGCUGGUCAAACCUGAUGUAUCUUAAUCUGGAACAAAUCCAUAGCCUCUGGCUUUCUGUGGGAACAAAAGCAGAGUCUCCUUUCCAAAGCAACAUAUCCUUACAUCCAAAUUUUGAAGUCAAGGUACCUUUAAAAUAUACAUUUUGGCAUAACUCAACAGCUUUUAUAAUCAAAUGUUUUUCUGCAGUUAAAAAUCCCAAAGACAACACAAUCCAGAUUCUCUGUGUAAUAUUCAUCUUUACAUGGCUUAUUUUUUAUAUUAAUUUUACUGUCUCUUUAAAGACUUUAUUUUUUAAAACUAUGUAUUUGUUUAUAUAACUGUGUAUAUCACCUUUUUUGUCUCUUUCAAGCCUAUGUAUAUUUUACACACAUUGUAAACUAUUACAUCUGAAUCUGUCUUAUUGUGAAUCUAUUGCUUUAAACUGCAGCAUUUGUAAGACUGAAAAGGGCGCUAUGGCUGCUGGCUCUGCCCACCUCAGCUUCCCAACAUGGUGGUGGUACAUUUACCGCCAGCUCUGGGAGCUAUCAUGGGUCUAUGCUUUUAUCCAAGCAGCGUGUAGCCCUGAAACCUCUUUUUUUGUUUUGUACUAGCAAAGGCUAAAUCCACCAUGCAGCUUAAUGUGCCACUUGCAGAGGCCUCAUUCCUGCCAUACUGCAGGUCGAGUGCACACUAGGAACCCGCCAGUAGCUCAAACUGGCAGACUGCCACUCAUUUGAGAGAGGCAAUUAGUAAGCUGUUUUUAGCUCCGUUUUAGAAUCUUUUCUCAGGUUUUAGGUGGAAACUCUUGCCAACUCUUUGGGCGCCAUUUGUAGCUAGAGUUUUCCUGCCUGGCCCAUGGUCAGGGCAAAUCUCUCUCACCUACCAGUCCCACAGCCGCUCAGACACAACCAAGUAAACACAGAGACUUAUAUUGCUUACAAACUUUAUGGCCGUACCAGGCUUCUUGCUAACUGUUCUUACAGCUUAAAUUAAUCCAUUUCUAUAAAUCUAUACCUUACCAUGUGGCUCGUGGCUUACUGGCAUCUUCACAUGCUGUUUGUCAUCAUGGCGGCUGGCAGUGUCUCUGACUCAGCCUUCCACUUCCCAGCUUUAUUCUCCUCCUUGUCCCGCCUAUACUUCCUCCUGCCUGACUACUGGCCAAUCAGUGUUUUAUUUACUAACCAAUCAAAGCAACACAUUUGCCAUACAGAACAUCCCACAGCACAGUUACCUCAAGGUCAUAGGCAGGGGUAACAGCUACAGCUGCCUUACUAGGGGUGGUGCUUCAGGGCAUUGCUCAAACAGACACCCACUACAAGUUAAUAUUUUGGGGGUUACCCAAACAUUUAAUGAGAAUAAUCACAUUCUAAUUGUGUCCCUUUAGCACUCUUAUCCUAUUCUCUAUCUCUUGCUACAAGAUUUCUAGUUCUGGAUAUAACCCUAGCUGGUCUCUGCAUGCUUAUAUUUUACGUAUAAGCUUAAUUGCUACCUCCUGGUAGUAUUUCUACCAUAUUUGUUACUAAAUGUAUCUCACUUGCAACUCUCUCUUGAAACCACUUUUCAAGUAAUUUCUUUAACCCAGAUGACAAGUUAUAAUUUUCUUUCUUGUAAAAUAGGAGGGAAAUGCUUGUUGUUGCUUCCCUCUCUUAAAGAUCUAAAGAAUUUGUGUUAGUGGCAUCCAUAGACUUUUUUUUUCUGAUUGGUGAUAUAUCAACAUAACUACAAAGAUGUUGAAUAGUAAAAUAACACCACAUUUUACAUAUCAAAGUUCAACUGACCUGUUCCAAAAGUCUCAGUCUUAACCAAAUCACUGUUGACAAAAUGAUGGAUGCUGUACUCCUCUGAGAGCUUCCUUAUGGGAUUAUUUAAAAUUCUCCCUCCCCAUCUAUUUGGAGUGUCUGUACUGCCUUGGCCCAAAUCAAAUAUUGCUUCAGGCAUUUGGACAAUGUAAUGACCUACCUUGUCUUUUAGGCUUUGGCUCUGGCAAUGUUUGAAGGGACCUUGUUAAAUGUUAAGUCAUUGCCCAUUAUUAUAACCCUGGCUCAUAUUCUCCGGGUAUACUUGCCAGUUUGAUUCCUUAUCCAGAAUCAGCCAAUCAUUCCCUUAAAGGGGAAAGGAAAAAAUAUGUUUGUAUGGGGGAAAACAUAAUUUUUUUCACUUAAAGAUUAUUCAGCCUAUAUUACAUUGCCUUUCUGCUUCUCCUUAACGUCUUGUGAAAGAUGGGAGACAUAGCCUCUUGCCCUAUAGAGAACAGCUCAGCCUCCUUAAAAUGUUAUGGUUUUUUGUAUGUGGAAGGUUUAUCAAAACAGUGACUGUCUUAGUUUCCCAGGGAUAUCUUAAGGUAUCAUGCCACAAACUUGGUGGCUUUAAAAAUAGCCUGAAAUCUGUUGUCAUACAGUUCUAGAGACUACAAGUCUAAAGUCAAUAUGCUGGCAGUUUCAGCCCCUCUUGAAUCUGGGCAAACCAUCCCUUGCCUCUUUCUACCUUCUGGUGUUAGCCAGCAUCUUUUUCACUAUUUGAUUGUAGAAACAUGACUCUGCUACUCUUUGGCUUCACUGGGUGUUCUCCUUGUUCCUGCUGAAAGCAUUUCUCAUUUUGAAAAUCAGAACUCUAAACAGUAGAAUAUAAUGUACAGGAAUGGCAAUGAUUUCACUGUGUUCCCUGCAAGUACAGGUGCUGGCAAUAGGACAGUAUUAAGAGAUGGGGCCUUUAAGGGAGGAUGUGGGCAUAAAGUCCCUCCUUUGUGAAUGGGAUUAAGUGCUAAUUGAAAAGAGCUUGGGGGAGGGAGUUCAUCUUUGCUUUUCUGGCUCUAUGUGAGGAAAUAGCAUGUCUCUAUCCCAUGUAUAGAGCAAGGAACAGUCUUGACUACUAAACCUGAUAGUUCUUUGAUCUUACAUUUUCCAGCCUCCAGAAUUAUGAUGAAUUGCCCAGUGUGUGAUAGCCUGUGAAAGCACAGAAGCAGACUAGACAAGAUGGUAGCAAAACUUUUACUAGUAGAUCACUAGAUGUAAUAGUGAAUGAUGCAGCUCCCAUGUUCUCUAUGAGGUUGGUUCCAUCUAAAUCAAUAUACAGUAUAUGGUGGCAUCUCUACUGUAAGCACGAUUCAUAGAUCCAGGAAACAGAGUUGAUAGAUAGAAAUGAGAAGGAAUCCCAUUAUGCUUAACUGCUUUUUUUGCCCUAAAGCUAGACUAAUCAUGGUGUUUCCUGACCAGUUAAAAGUAACUUUCCUUAAACAAUAAAUAUAAGAUGACCCAAGAUGGCAGGCAGGCAGAGUCUGCUAGGAUCUCUAGGAAGUAAGCUUGGAAAAUCUGAGUAAUACCUAUCAGAAAAAGUAGAGUUGUACAACACUAUUCCUGGGGAGACAUACGCAAAUGUCUACUCACAACAGAUAGGGAACAUAUACACAAAUAUAAAAAGAGUUGAAGUUGGGUUGCCCUAUGUGCUAGUUAGUUUUUUGUCAACUUGAUACAAGUUAGGGACAUCUGGGAAGAGAAAACCUUAACCAAGAAAAAUGCCUCCAUCAGACUGUCCUGUAGGCAAGUCUGUGGGGCAUUUCCUUCACCAAAGAUCGAGAUGGAGGAAGACCUAGCCCACUGUGGUAAUACCACCCUUGGGUAGGCAGUUCUAUGUUGUAUAAAAAGGCAAUCUGAGCAAGCCAUGGAGAGCAAGCCAAUAAGCAGCACUCCUUUGUAGUUCUGCUUCAGUUCCAUCCUCUAAAUUCCUUUCCUGAGUCACUGCCCUGGCUUCUGUGAUGAUGUGCUGUGACUGGGAAGCCCACUAAACCCAUUCUCUUUAAGUUUCUUCUAGUCAUGGACUUUAUCACAGCAAUAGAAAGCACACUGAAAUAGAAAUUGAUACCAGGAUCCUAUGUUAUUGCUGUAACUGACCUGACCAUGUUGUUAGGGGAGGACUAUGGAAAGGUUUGGAAAUUUAGGAUGGAAAAUUAGUGCUCAAAGCUUAAUGAGCUUUGCUGUGGGAACUUGAAAGAAAAGAAUACUGAGCAAUCUGGAUUAUAGAAUCUUGGCUUGUGAUGACUCAGAGGGAAGUUUGAGAUGCUCUCAAAGACUCUACUGGGGAUGUUCGUAUAAUAUAUUUAAAUUAAGAAUCUGUGGUUUCUGGUCAGGUCUGUGAAACCAGCUAUGACUAAGAAGACAGCAUCAUUGAGGUGAAAUCUUCUGGGGAGUAUUUUCUCAAGGUCAGCACACAGAAGCUGUGGUCCAGAGGGGAGCAAUGCAGCAUCUCAUAUUGGCAGCCAAACUUUGUAAUGGAUGAGGAAAAUCUGAAGAUGGCUUGCAGCUUUCACAGUGCAGAGGUCGAGUCAGUCCCUCCCACAUCCUACUAGAAAGGAACUAGGUACGUGGACCACAAGCACAUGGGGUGUCAAUCAUCAAAGCACUUGGAGAAAUUACGAUACUUCUACUCUUUAAUAAUUUGGAGAUCGUCUAAAUGUAAGUUCUGUGUAUUCUGUGUAUUCUAACUCUGUCCUAUGACAUUUAAAAAAUUGUUUUUGAGCCCUUAUGUGUUUUUGUGACUCAGACUAGUUCACAGGAGAUAGUCCCUUGAGCUCUAUUUUCAAAUGAAGACAUGUGAGCAACGGGUUGCUGCUUUGGAAAUGAGCACUUUGUGAAACUCAGAUACACAUUUUUACUGAAAACAAAUUUAUCCUGGAGAUUAAAGUGAGUUUGCAUCUUCCUUGUGUGCUUUUUACAGGGACAGUAAGCACUUUGCUGAAGACACAGUUACUUAAUUAUCUGUGUACCACUGGUAAUGUAGUCAUGCCCCUUACUUUACAAAAAGCCAUGCCAAAAUUGUAAGUGAACUGUCUGUUUUACCAGUGAGCUUCUCUCUAGAAGAUAAACACAGGAGUGGAAGACACCUGGCUCAUAGCACCCAGGUAAAAGAGGAUCAGGUACAACCAUUACGGAAUCAUUUUGGAAGUUAAUGGAAUGGGCACUGACUUGAAGAAUCAUAGAUUCUUAAAAACCACAGGACAGUAAAACAUCUUCCAAUUUCGUUUUAAGCAGCAUCUUUUAUUUAUUUCUGUUGUCCAAAACAAUAAAGCACUUUCAUCAUUUUUGGUAAAUGACAGCAGCAUUCCAAGUUUUAGGCAAGAAAGGCAACUCUAAGAGGUAUCUGUUUGCAUUGGUAAAAAAAGCAAGUAUUGUUUGAUACCUUUUGCUAUCUUAAAGAAUUUUAACACAUGUACGCUCUGAAGGAAUGCAUCUAGUUUACAUGGGAAUGAGAGAUAAAGAAGAAAAAUUAUGCAAUGCUUUAUAGUUUGAGGUCCCAGGCAGUGAGGGUUUAAUUUGGGAGAGUUUAGCAACGGAGAACUGGAGAAGGGCACAAUGCCACUUCCUUAGUCACAAAGGGUUCUUGCUGAGAUCCUUAUGUCUCUUGUUAUCUUGGAUCUAUUCCUGUAAAGCUUGUAGUAAUUUUCUAAAAAAAGAAUAUGAGGGCCUAACUGCUGACACAUAAUUACAGCGGGAUGAUGACGGCUCGUGCUGUAAUCCACUAUAAUCAAGGCUGGAUUCUCUCUGAUUAUAUGUCCAGUUGUUCUCAGCCUUGAAACAGUUGCUAGCAAUGUUCUUGAGAAGCAAUUUCCCCUUGUUCUCAGUCCUUUGUGAAAUCUGCUCGAGCAUUUAUUGUAAAAUCUUGAAGACCUUAUCCCCCAGGCACUCAUUACCUUCUACAUAAAGUGUCACAUAUAAGUCAUUUAUUUUAGAACUUAGUUGUGAGACCUGAAGUUUCCACAUCGACAGAGAAAAAUGAGGAAUUGGUGAGAAAUGACAAGGGAAUUUUGCAAAAAAAGAAUUCUAAGAAAGAAGAAUUGUCAUUGACCAGCUUGAUCUGUAAAUCUGUUUAGCAUGAGUACUUUCUUCACACAAGAGGCCUCUACAUGAGGACUCUGUUUUGUCCUGGAAUGAAGAAGCACUGGCAACCAAGACUGGCAUACUGCACUCCCAUGUCACCCACUUCCUCUGCCUAUGGAGGACAUUGCUAGUUGGUCCAGUCAGUCUCAGUAUGACACUGCAUAAAUAACCUUCCCUUUAUUGUCAGUCUGGUGGAAUGCAUAAUUUAGUAUACACUUUGUCCUGCACCUUGGUCCAGUAAUUCACAUGAAGAUCCUUUGUACAUAUCUAGUGGUGUAUCCAUGGGAGCUAAGACAAAGAAAUGUUUUACCAAUCUGUUAUUUUAGUCUGCUUAUACUACCAUGACCAAACAGCACGGAUCGUGGCUUACUUUCGCAUAGUUCUAGAGGUUAGAAGGUCUAAGAUCAAGAUCUGGCAGAGGGCCAUCUCCUCACUAUGUCCCCAUAUGAUGGAAAAAGAGCAAGUAAACUUCUUGGCGUCUCUUUUUAUUAGUACUAACUCUACAAUUUGGGCCCUACCUGUAUCGCCCUAUUUGACCCCAAUCCUAUAAAGACUCCGUCUCCAAAAGAAGUCACAUAUGGUAAGAGGUUAAACAUAAACGUAGUAGGUGGAGGGGCACAAUCAGUUCAAAACACAGGCAUACAUCUUGAGCCCUCUGGCCGAGGAAGGGCUGGCUGUCAUGUCAGAAAAUCUGAACUUGAACACAAGGGAACAGCAUGUUCUUAUUGUGCCAGUGAUCCAAGGAGUUCUAGGCCGGGAGGGACCAGGCCAGUUAAGUGUAGAUCUGAUAAUACUGAGAGAAGUCAUAGUGGAUUCUGAGCCAGGGAAUGUCAGAGGAAUGAUGUUCAGUUACAAGUGCAAAAAGCCAUGUGGAAUCCAGUUUUGAAAGCUGGCUAAGGACAAGUGAGGAUGUUGUCCUGACUCACUUCCUCACGAGGGCCUCUUGGGGAUCCUAUAACAAAGAUCCAUGAGUCCUGGAGAGCCCUUUCCUGAUGACAUUAAAGCCACAGAAUGUAGACACCAAACUCUACAGAAGGACUGGCUAUGGCUACUCAUUCUGUCUGCUCAUUCUCUGCCCAGAACAGUUGAAAAUCACAGCUGCCUUCAGAUGCAGCUGAAGUUUAGUCCAUUUUCCAUCUACUCUCUCUUUCAAUGUUUUCCUUGCUUUCUUACCAUUACCCUCCUGUUUUCUUCUCCUUCUUCAUGAAUGACUUAGGAAAAUGCUUUGCUAAAGAUUAAGGGAGGGCUAGGGAGAUGAUUCCGUGGAUAAAGUGCUGGCUGCACAAGUAUGACCUGAGUUCUGAUCUCCAGCACCCACAUAAAAAGUCAGGCUCGGCAGCAUGUUCCUUUAGCCUCAGUACCGGUAGGUAGAGGCAGGAGGACCCCAGGGGCUCACUGCAUAGCCAGUGUGGCUGAAUUGAUGACUACCAGAUUCAGUGAGACCGUCUCUCAAAAAAAUAAGGUGGAAGUGACAGGGAAAGACACCCAACAUAAACCUCCCCAUCUUUGCAGGGGCACACGCGCACACACACAUACACACACACACACACACACACACACACACACACACACACACACACACACAGGAUUAGGAGACACCUCUGUGGGUUUCAGUUUUCCUUCUUGUGGUUUAUGCAAACUAGUCCAUAGGCCUAGAUUUGGCUCAGAUGUCCGAGUGCAUGGGGCAAGCAGACCCAUAGCAUAACACAUACAACACAGGCCGCAGCUACUCUGGUUUGCACUACAGCAUUCACCAACAGUUCUUUGAAUGGAAAAUAGCAACAUAUUCUGAAAUUGGGACUUCAUCCAGGAUCUCAGGUGAAGACCAGAUGAAAGGAGAGGAGGGUGAGUUUGGAUCGGGAAGUGGUUUUGGUUGUGAAAGGUGAAUUGGAGAGCCCCUGGUUUAGGGCAUGAGCUCAUAAUAAAAUCGCUGAGUCGUCUUCUCAAUGUGGGAUCUAACAAGAAAGCCUUGUGACUUAGCACAGAUUUUAGCUCAUGGUCAAAAGCAAGAGAAACAGAAAUAGAAACUCUUGCUCAGAGCUGUGUAAAAUGAAGCAGGUUCUUUUACAGAGCAACAAACUUCCUGACCCUAUCAGCCCUGGAGAAGGAAUGGUCCGAGCCCUUGUAGAGACAGAGCAGUAGACUCUCCCUAUCAGGUGAGAUUGGCUCAGACAACAUUGGGCUGUUCAUUAUGACCGGAAUAUCACAGAUUCUCUGGUUCUGUACGGCAUGAUCACAGGCACAGGCACCACAGCAGAAAAUUAGUCGAGGAAAAACAGUGUUGAAAUGCUGAGUAUAUGAGUUUAUGAGUUCUGACUGUAGGUGCCAGGUCUGGGCAUAGCAACUUCAUCCCUGAAGCAAAGGCUGCCUCCUGUCAGUGAGGAUGACCUCAGCUUAUCAGCAUUAGCAUCUUGGGUCAGACUAAUUUGCAUAUGACAGAUAUUAGCAAGGAUGUAAAGAUAAUUCCUAGAAGAAAUGACUGCAGGAAGGAGCAUUUGUCACAGAGAACAGCUGGGAGGCUAGAUGACUGGACUUCUACUCUUGGGGUUAAUUUCACUGUAUUUUUAUGUUUCUUUUGUUUUAUUAGCAUAUAUUCACUGUUCAAAAUGAUGGGUUUCAUUUUGACAAUAUCAUGAUGUAAGUCAUGUACUUUUCUUAUUUUAUUCCACCCCAUCCCCACUGUGCUCUCUCUCUCUCUCUCUCUCUCUCUCUCUCUCUCUCUCUCUCUCUCUCUCUCUCUCUCUCUCUCUUCAUUUUUAUUGUUCAGGCCUUAAAUUUCAAUGUUGAGACUGGCCAGAAAGUGUAGAUCUCAUUUGACUCUGACAAAAUGAUUUGAUCUAUAACAGCCAAGGCAGGAUCACAGGAGAAAAAAUUUACAUCUGGAAGAUGUCCAAAGGAUGCAUGCAGCUUCUCACAGGAAAGAGAACAUUCCCAUGUGGAAGAUGAUCCAGAGGCCAUCAUUCCUGGUUGGAUUCUUGUGGCAAAGAAGAGAUGCCUAGAUAUUGUAUCUAGGUGCCCCAUUCAGCAGAGACAUUGAAGUCUGAUAUCACUGAGAUUUUCUGAGUUCUCUUGGGUCAGAUUAUUACUCUAAAAGGACAGAAUGAGGUGUUAGGAGCUUCCAUUUUGCCAGGAAUGAGACAGAGUUGGAUAGAGUGAAGUUGGAUUUAUUUUCAGGUUCAAUAGUUAGCAAACCCUGGCAUCUUUGUACUCUGAGUGCUAAAGCCUGCCUUGACACCAAAUCCUGGCCUGAGGACAUUCUUGUUUUUCUAUGAACCACUCAAGUUCUUUGGAGGACCAGAUAUUUCCAAACUGUCCUGUGAGCUGUACAGAGAAGGCCUCUGCCCUAACAGCUGCGUCUGGAGAAUCUGUCUAUCACAUACAUCAAUUUGCAAAGACUCAGAUGUUUGCUAACUAAUAGAGCAAGUGAGAAUUGUAAGAGAGACUUAUGAGCUGAGAUGGAACUCCACCCAAGCCAGAGGGCAUGCUGAGCUGAGGACUCUUGCCUUGAAAAUGGUAGUGAUAGAGGGCAGGGGGAUAACUGAAGAGAAGUAACAACUUGCUUCCUUUCUUCUGGAGGUGUUGGGCAUUUUGAGAAGGGAACAAAAUGUUGUGAGAAGGGGAAGAUGCUCCCUUCAAUAUGACCAACGGACCAAUGCGAUUUCUCACCUAGAGUACCUCUCUUACAUGAAAGAGUGUUCACAUCUGGAAGAUGACCAAAGCAGGGAUGUAGCUUCUCACCUACAGCGUUUCUUAUAAAAGAGAAAGAGUGUGUUCAUACUCUCUCUGGUCUUCACAUCUGGAAGAUGACCAAAUGAUGGAUGCAGCUUCUCACCUAGGGUGUUACCUAUAAAAGGAGAAAGAGUGUGUUCACAUCUGGAAGAUGACCAAAGUAUGGAUGCAGCUUUUCACCUAGAAUGUUUCCAGUAGAGAGAGAGUGUGUUCACACUCUCUCUGGUCUUCACAUAUGGAAGAUAACCAAAAGAUGGAUGCUGCCUCUAAACAAGAGUGCUGCUUCUGCAGGAACUACAACAAAGAAGAAUCAAGAAGCCAACGGAUGUAGCCUCAGUUCCACUGUGAACUGUUUUUGGUUUAGAAGACUCCAUCAAAACCAAAGGAAGAGAGAGAUGAUGUUGUACAAGCAUCUGGGUUCCUGUGCAGGUCAGUGGGACAGCACAACUGUUCGCCACCAACCUCUUCACUAUGAAUGGACUACUGUUCCCUGAGUAAGAAGUCACUAAUGUUUGAAUCUUUCCUAGUGUUUCAAAUGGUCAUAUAGGUUCAAAUAUGAUCUUCCAAGAACUUUCUACCCCAAUUAUAUUACUUUGGUUCACAUAUAUACACUCUGCUUCAUCAUUCUAAAAUUUGUUCCUAUUGUAAAAGAAAAACAGCUAUUGAAAACCAUCACAUUGGUAUAAGGACUGGUUCCCAAAAGUAUGCCCAUCACUUUGAUUACAUUAAAAGCACCUGAACUUCCCAUCAAAUGUACAGAUGCCAAACAGCUGAAUCAUGACAUUGGGCUUGAGGUGUAGGGUUACCCGUUAGCAUUGAACUCUGUGGGAAUACGGUAUCUUCUCUUGGGCAUCCCAGAAAAUCACUAUGACACAUCAUAAUGUCCUGUUGUAAAAGGCACUAUGUAAAAGACCUCUGUCACCUUUGCCCUGGGAGAAAUUGUCUAGAGCAAAUCCUACCCUUUCGCAACUACCACCACCACCCAGGGCUUAAAAACACAGUAAAUUCUGUACUUGGUCAUCUUUUCCUGUUUAAUUCUGCUUUUGAUAAGGUCAGAACUAUUUCUCUUUAAUUCCAAUUACUUCAAAAGUUGUUCUAAUGUGCCUUCUAUAUACCAUCCCAGGUCAUAUACUCUUUACAAAGGAGUUUAAAUAAGUUGAUAAGCAAGAUCUUUCAUAGUUUAAAACUUUGCUAUCAUGGAGACAGGAAACCAGAGCUCAGUAUUCUGUUGCUUCUCCCCUCCUUGUUUGCAGAGAAGCUCAUAGAUGUUAGACCACAUUUUGUUACCAAGAAUAUUAACCAUAGAGGCAUUAUCAAGUUAUAUCUGCAAUACCCCUAAAGUUUUAUGAACAACUGAAACCUAAAAAAUAUGUAAUUGUUUCAAAGGUAUUUUGAGAAUGAAAAAAUGGAUAAGAAUCAGGUCCUUGGAUUGUUCAGCCGGGUCUUUUUGUAUCACACCACACUCACAUCACUCACCUCUUGGCUUACCUCUAGAGACCAUCUAAGGAGGUCAUUGCUUCUCACACCCAGUAUAUUCCUGAUGGUGGCCUGAAGGGUGUGCUGAAUAUGACCCAACAUUUAAGCACUAGAAAAACCCCCAGCUCCCCACCUAACACACUUCCUGGGUCAGCUCAUAAAAGUAGUUCAGAGCAGAAAAGGCCGUAUAAUGUCCGAGUGUUAAGACUCUGGCCAAUCGACUGGCCUUUGUCUUUCUGCCCACUGGGUUAGUCUGACCGUCUUCCAUGCUGUGUGAAAAUUUCCUGUUUCUCCUGUCCUUUCACGGGAUCAUCUCUUAGAAAUAUGAGAAUCCUCAAAUUUCUGUGGAGAAUCUCAGUGUGACACAAACGUUUUCAAAGAGAAGAUAGUUAUUUGAAGUACAUUUAUUGAUGGGAUUUUUCAACAUAAGGAACAUAAAAGGCUUAUUGUGAGAGCCCAGGCAUUAGACAGGAUCUCUUCUACUUUGGGAUUCCCAGAAAGCAAAGUGUAAGAGAAAUCACACAGCCUUGAGGCAAUUUAUUUAUAUCAUGGAUCAAUUAGUAAUAUGUAAAUGUCCUAAAAUUGGUUAUGACUGUGUAUUGUAAUGAUUUCUUUUUUAAUUGUGACUCACAAACUGACUAAUGAAGUUUUAAAAUACCUCUAACAGACUUCUUCUUGGUCUAGUCUGUUCUCAGGCUCAUUUGCUCAACACCCCCCACCCCUACACACACACACAUAUGUACAAAGACUCCUUUCCACUGACUUAGUCACUAGAAGCUGGAGGAGGGUGAAGAUCAAAAUUUCUUUAUUUCUACAUUACAACUUUUCUUAAAUGAUUAAGAAAGACUCUUACUUUUUAGGAAUCCCGUUUUCUUUUUUAUGCAAUAGUCUACUUGACUCAUUGGGGAAAGGUGGUGAGGAGGACAAGGACUUUGGAUACUGUCUUACUAGUAUUACAGGAAGCCUACCAGAGAAGAUCACACAGAAAAGGUCUAUAGCCAAUUGAAAAUCUUUAUUUCAUCUGGCUGGGGCUACACUUGGGUAUUUAAGAUCCAUCUAUAGCAAAGGUUUAAGGUAAGACAUUUUUAAAGGCAAAAAAACAUAUCCUGGUAUCCCACUCACUCCAUAGCUGCAGGGAGAGAUUUUGCACAAGCAGGCAGGUUAAUAGAAGCUAAAUUAAUUAGGGCAUCUUGACCUCAGGUUCCUAGACUAGAGUUGGACAAUUUUCUACAUGAUUCUCCAUCAUCAAGGAGAUCAAAUUCUAGUUAAAUCUAAAAUGGCCUCAACAGGAAGGUUCCUCCAAGAUGGAGGAACCUCUGCAUUGUCUUGCCCAAGCACAAGGGAAAAACUACCAGGUCGAAGUGAGAAUCAAGUGUAACAGCAGCUGCUCAGCUACUUAGACUCGGUCAUGAUUCUGGAAUGUAAGCAACCAUCUUCCAGGCCAGCCUGACAGGUUUUAGCAUGUUCCUUUGGCCGACAAUGGUUUCGGAUGGAAUAGCAGUUUAUAUUCUUGAGCUGUGUGAGAAAUACUGGAAAUGUAAUCCUAAACUCAGCACCUCAGUUUCUUUGUCUUCUUGUCUAGUUUUUACAUUAACGGUGAUAAUUGGAAAUCACAGAUUUGACUUGCUUAGAACUGUGCCUGGCACACAUAGAAAGUUAUUACCAUUAUCGCUAACGGUAAAAGAAAAGAAAAGUUUCUUUUCUACUGUGAUAACUAGAAAUAUCAGGUUAUUUUAAGCAAAAUUCGGACAAGUAAAAUAGAAUAACAGAAAACUACUUUCCACAUCAACAUAAAUGCAGCAUUUUUUUUCUUGAGAUUGCCUAGAAAUCUUCCAUUUCAGAAUAUUUCUAUUAUGACUGUCACAAAAAUUAUGUACUGACAAUAUAGAAUAUUGAUACUAGCUUUUCUAUCAUGAUGCUCAAAUAAUGCUAUUUUGAUUGUCACCUUUAGUGGAAGCAAAUGUGGAUGCCAAUGACCUGAUCCAUAAUCUUUCGUGAGUGGAACUACGUUUUGGUGUCUUUUACUUUAGCACACUUUAGGAUGUAUUAAGUCUCCCUCUCCCUUUGUAAUUGUGCAAAGUCAGUCACUGGCCUUUAUCUAGCUUUUCGUACACAGAACAUGUGUCACCAAGAAGUACUUUUGUCAUUAGUCCUGAGCAAGCUUUGAUGUUGUGGCUGCUCCUUCUUCCUCCAAAGCCUUAGAGAUGGGAAGUAGAGAGCUGUAACUCGCCACACUUUACAAUCUAGGAAGGUUACACAGUGACAAUGACAUGUAAAAAAAAUGCCCUAUAACAAUGAAGGAAAUUAUUUCAUAGUCUCUUGAGACUAAACAACAAAAGACUCACAAAAUAUGAUAUGUAGUGUCACCUUCUCCCUCCUGGUUCAUCUAGAAUUCAGAUAACAAACUAUUCACAAUGCACAGUAUAAUACUCUGAUUUGAUUUGGAUAUAUUUCUAGAAAUUGAUGUCUCUAAAAUCAAAAGAAUCUAACAGAAGUUAUGAAUGUUAAUUAGUAUUGAGAUUUAUGGUAAUCAGCUUGUACUGCCAUAAUAAAUGCCAUAGCCUGAGUGGCUUAAAUGAGACAAGUUAAUUUUUUCGAAGCUCUGGGGGAUUGGAAGUAUACGAUUAAGGUGACAACUGGUUUAGUUCCUGGUGAGGGUGUUUUCCCCUGACUUACCUUCUUGCUCUGUCUUUUAAAAAAUGUUUUUAUUGGCAUGUAGAUUAAUUGUAUAAAAUAGUAAGUUUUCUUGUGCAGUUUUUAUACAUGUGUAUUAUUGUGCUCACCUUUCAAAAUCCUCCCCUGGUCCUUCCUCCCACGGGUCCCCUUCUUCUUCUUGCUAUGUCUUGUUAUAAGGCCACUAAUCCCAUAGGAUUAGCGCCUCACACUCACAAGCUCAUUAACUGUGAUCACCUUUUAAAAGUAUUAUUUCCAAAAGCAGUCAUGUUGUGGUUUAGGAUUUUGAUACAUGAAUUUGGAGAUGUUAAGAAUUACACCAAUAGCAGCUGUAUCUUUGUUAACUUAUAAAACACAUUUUUAUCAAAAGUUAAAAGUAGGAAGAAAGACCAGACAAAAACCUGGACAAAAGGGUUUUUUUUUUUUUUCAGAAUGUGAAACAUAAAUAUUAGUAUCAUAGUGUUUUAAUCCCAGAAAAAUGAGUUGUCCUUAUUUGUGGACUCAUUUUCUUGGUGCUGUGAAAACUAUUAAAUAUGAAGCAUCUCCCAGCAAGCUGUCCUGCACAGAGGUGUGAACUGGCAUCUUUGUCACAAGUUCCCAUGGAUUUCUCCUCUGACUGGCAUUGUUAUAGCAACCGGAGUGCCAGAGGAAGUUGUUAUGGCCAUGAUAAUCAUGAAACAUCACUAUGGCAACAGAAACCUCUGGAAAGUUAAAAAAAAGAAAGAAAGAAAAGAAAGAAAACCUUAGACUGUCAGUUGGAAUCAAAGAGGUUUGGGGGGGGGGAGUGGGGGCUGAAAUGAACAUGAGGUUGGAACAAGGACCAGAGCACAGAAGAAUGAUUAUACAGAAGCUGAACAAGCAAAGGAGAAAGGAAACAAUAGCAAAAAAAACAGAGGGUGAAGACGUGGUUUGCACAGGAAAGAGGCAGGUCGGAAGGAGCACAUGAGCCCCAGCAGUGGGCAUACUCCCAGGAGUAUUGCACAUGCUCCGUAUACAUUGCAGCACCCCGUGGGUAGACAACACAAGACUGGAUGCCAAAGUCUGUACUGGAACUGCCCAGGUACUGAUUUUCAUACUGCAGGAAUAUUUCGAAUGAACCACAAGUUAGUGAGACAGCCUAAAUCAAUUUGUGGAGUGCUUUUGGCAUGCCAUCCUGCUGACUAGGAAUUCUUAUAAUAUCUGGUGUUCACAGGCACCACAUUUGAAUGUGGCUCUUCUUUAUUGGACAUUGGGAUUGCUUCAGACAAAGGCACAGUGCCAUUUGCUCCAUUAUAAAUAUGUAUUUCCUUCAUUACAGAAGCUUAAUGGACUUUUUUCCAUGAGAGAAUUAAAGUAAUUCUUUAAUACUCUUAAAGAGUAAGUGGCAAUGUCACUUGGAAUAAAACAUUUUCACUUUAUAUUUUCCAUGUUUUAUUAUCAGUCAGGAUUGAAGUUUUAUGGUCCAAUAUCAACUUUUUUUGUUUUUGUUUUUGUUUUUGUUUUUUUCGAGACAGGGUUUCUCUGUGUAGCUUUGCGCCUUUCCUGGAUCUCGCGCUGUAGACCAGGCUGGCCUCGAACUCACAGAGAUCCGCCUGCCUCUGCCUCCCGAGUGCUGGGAUUAAAGGCGUGAGCCACCACCACCUGGCCAAUAUCAACUUUUUGUGAAGGGAAAAUAUAUAUAUAUAUUCAAAAGGUGCCACUAAGAUGUUCAGGGUUUUUUUUUUCUAGAAUUAAAUUAUUUUUCAGACAUGAAAGAAUAAAGGAAGAAUGAAAACAGAAGCAGAAAAGGACAUACAUAAGGGUUGCAAUCGGAAAGAAACAGAGCAAGAGGAAAAUAACAAAAGCUUGAGAUAAAAGUACAGAAAUCAAAGGGGCAGUCUGGGUACUUGCAGAAGUGUGGUCCCAAGAAUUUUAACAGGACUUUUGUAAAUGACGUCUGUUUUGCCUGGGCACUGCAUUUUAGUUGUCAUUUGCUAACACGCUAAGAGAGGACCUAGUACUUACUGCAUAGCUGAAGAUGACUUUGAACUUUGACCUUUAGGGCUGAAUAAAUCAACCAAUUGAUGGUAAGGAUAAACUUCUACAGGAAGGCAUGGGCUGUGCCCAGAGGCCCUGCAGACCUGUUAUCAUUAGAAUUACAGGUCAUCCAUCCACCUUCAGGAUCCCUCCUAUAAGUGUGGACAUCAACAAUUACAACUCCUCUUUUUCAAGUUCAUAAACAAAAAAGCAAUGCAAAAGUUCUCACUGCAUAAUCUUCACUUCAAACAAGGCAAGGUCUCUGUUGAAUAGUGCACCGAUGUUCUAACUUCUCCUGUUUCACUGCACACACACACACACACACACACACACACACACACACACACACAUACACACACACACACACUUAGCUGGUAUGGUGGUGGUUUGAAUAAGAAUGGCCCCCAUAGGAUCAUAUAUUUGAAUAUUUGGUUCCCAGGGGGUAGGUCUGUUUGGGAAGGAUUAUGAGGUGUGUCACUGUUAGAGGAGGUAUGUCACUGGGGAUGCUGAGGUUUCAAAGAGACUCCUGCCAUUCCCAGAUUGCACUCUCUGCCUCUUGUGAAACAAGACAGUAGCUCUCAGUUGUUCCUUUGCUCCACUGCCAUGGACUCUAAACCUCUGACACCUUAAGCCAAAUUAAAUGCUUUCUUUUUAAAGUUGCCUUUGUCAUGGUGUUUUCUCACAGCAGUAGCAAAGUAGUUAAGACAGUGGGAAAGCACAUAUGAAAGUCUAUGAGAGAAGCUGGGCAUGGUGGUACAUGCCAGUAAUCUUAACAUGUGGGCAGUAGAGGCAGGCAGAUCGGGAGUUCAAGGUCACCUACACAGCAAUUCUGAGACGAUCUUGGGCUACAUGAGAUACUGUCUCAAGACAGUAUUAAUUAAAACAAGAAUUAAUAAGAUAACCAGGCAUAUUGCUUCAUGUCUACUGUCCUAGCACUUGUUAGGUGGAGGCAAGAGGAUCUAGCGUUACAGGCCAGGUUAGUAUUUAUAGUAAGACUCUGUCUCAAAAUAAUAAUAGUAAUAAUAAUAAUAGUUAUGAAAUACAUAUUGCCCUGCCAAAAUAUCCAAUGUCCUAGGUAAACAAGAGAAGAAACAAAAAAAGUUAAAGACACAUGUGUUUAGAAGUCAAGUCAGGGAUUCUAUUCAAUGUAUACGGAGAGAAAUGCGUGGAUUCUAAGUGUUUUACUUGAUGAAUAGCACAUAGGGAACAAACGUGUUUAUCAUCCUGAUCAUGAUUGUGAUGUUGCAUUUUAUCUUUUCUGUGGCUUUCUAAUUCUGUAAGAAAAGAAUGUUGGCAUAUUUUGCAUGGGCAUCUAUUUCCACAGCACUGUGGAUAAGGAAGAUGGAGAGGCUGCAGAUGUCAGGCAUGCUUUGUACCAUGUGCGGAGAGAGACCCCUGCUGGAAUAUUUCUUUUUCAAUGUAAUUGAGGACAUCUAAAUCAACCCAGAGAAACUGUAUGAUAAAAGAGAGAGCCAUGACUCUGCAGAUUUUAAGAUUAAAUUUGAACAUUGUUAUCCAAAGAUAGAAAAUAUUUAACUUCUAACACACACACACACACACACACACACACACACACACACACACACACACACACACACACAUGUUUAACAGGACAGGAUUUAGAGGUUUUGUUUUUAUUUCCUUUCAAUCUCCAAGCUUGAGAAACAAAGGGAUCUGACUUUAACUACCCAACCUGAGAUUCUAUUCCUCUGCUCGCCAUGAGUUAAUCCCUUCAGUUCUGGAAGCCUCAGCCAUAAAAUGACAUGUCUGCUCCUCUGCAUUUCUUAGGCACUGCUGAAGAACAGCUUGACUGUUCUUCAGGGCUGUGUGAGAGCACAUCCCUGGAGGUGCCUAUUGACUCCACCAUGGAUUAGUGUCACUGAGAUUUAAUGGAUUCUAGAGGUCCGUCCUCUGCAUCUGUUACUACUAGGAUUCUGAGUGGUUACUGGGGUCUGUGAUUACAGAUUAUGAAAACUGAGUUUCCAGGCAGGCCCUGUAAUAAAGAGUGGCUUGCCAAAACAGUGAGCCAACAGACUCUGGCACUGGAGUGACAGAUGUAAGGUAUGUUAUCCAGCAUGCAGUGGAAAAUGGAAGUAAGAGUGAUGCCAGCUUUAACUCUUGAGCUUUGGUGAAGUGGUCACCAAGAGUUUCUUAGGCAGAAGAUAGGCACAUUGAGAUAUGUGCACAACACAGUGGAAUGUAAACUUGUUUACCUCCAUUCCUACCCUUUUUUCUGUUUCCUGAAUAAAACACUACAAAAAAUGUUCUCUUUCCCCUCAUUCAGAAUGCUACAUGUUCCCAUACCUUACACCUUCACUUGGACCACACUUAAAUCACUACAUUCUACUGAUGACUAAUUCAGUUUUUAUAUACUCAUGAUUUCUUCAUUUCCCUGUUUGUAUUUAACAUUAUACAUAUGUUAUAUGUAUAUAGUAUGUGAUAUUUUGAUGCAUCCAAUUCAACCUUUAAUGAUCAGGUCAGUAUAAUUACAUUUCUAUCACUUUGAACAUUCAUUAUUUCUUUGGAUUGGAAACAUUCAAAUUCCUCUUUUCUAGCUAUUUUAAAUUUUGUGCUGUGCACUAUAUUCAUGCUACUAUGCAAUAUGACACUAGAAUUCUUUCUCCUUUCCAUUCUCUGGUACUCACUAUCCCCUCUCUCUCCAUCCCUCACCUUGUCCUCACUUCUUUAACACGCUCUCUGUCCUUCCUUUCCAGCUUCUGGAAUAUGCUGGAGCUGCUCAGUGAUGGCUGCCAUAACUUCCAACUGAACAACUGCACUUAUCGAAGAAUUAGUAUAUUCAGCAUUAAGAUAUUCCAUGUCUGCUGUUGGUGCAUCUGAAGCCGAAAUUCCAAAAAUAGCACGAAGGCCAUUCCUCAUAUUCUAAAUACUUCUUGGGUUUCUAGUUCCCUCUAUUGGCAGACACUUCUUUACAUCCUGUUUCUCUGAUCUUCACAGCUCCUGGAGGUGGUUUGUAUAUUCCAACAAUACCCACUGACUGUUACCAUGACAACAGUUGUAAACCACCCCCACCCCUGCCCUUUUUUUUUUUUUUUUUUCUUUCUAAUCCUGCCCCUCCAACCCCAGGUAAAAGGACCAUGCACUUCUCCACAUUAUGACUCUACCUGGCACAUACUUUUAUGACCAUCAUUUUGUAACAUUUUAGACCUGGUUGUUUGCCUUCUGCUUACUCCAGGCUGAAAAGCCUGUGUUAACCUUCCUCUAAGUAUUAUUCACAGUGUGGUUAGCCUGGGACUUAAGUUCCAUAAAUUGCACCUUAAAUAGUUGCUAAAUGUGUAGUCAGGGGCCUUAAAAUGGAACCCUAAUGCCUCAGAAAAAGCACUUGGCCAUGCAGAUAACCUGCUGUUUGGGGCAGCAGACAGAUUGAAUGUAUUUGAUAAAAACUGUAUAGUGCACCAAAUGCUUUGCAAAGGUAAAGAGCAAUUCAGUUCUAUCAUGUCAAAGUUGGGCCCCACAGAACCAAACUGAGCAGAUCCUCUGUAGGCCAUAGGUUGUCUCCACUUCAGUCCGAGUGGUGAUUUUACAGAGAUUACCACAGCAUCCAAGGGGCACAGGGUGGAGGCAGAUUAGGGUAAAGAAUUAGAAACUGACUUAAUAAACUGAGUUUUUAGAGAGAGUUUUACUCUGAUAUGCCAGAAAAGUUGCUACAGUAAAUGUGUGGUGUUCAUAAUGGCAAUAAUUUUCCCUUACAUGUCAUAAAAUCUAUAUGACUGUACUGAACUUCUGAGUCAGGGAGAGACAAGAUGCCAUUACAUUAGCAUCCCAUGGGAAAUCCCAAUGUUUGAAUGAGAACCUGUUAAAGAGAGCAAGAGAGGGCUAACCAUAGGGAGCAUUAUCAUUUCUGUUUGCCCCCCAAAAACUGUCUCCCAACAAUUAUACAACAUGUACAUUUUCAGCAGACUAAGCUGGAAAAUGGGGAACUACAUCUGGAGUCCAGGAUACCGAGUUACAGAAAAUUCCCCUUUGAGGCCAGCUGAAGACUUCACCCAGACACUGCGUUAAGAAGAAAAGGCUGAAAGCCCCAACACCUUGUUGUUCUGUGGAAUCAGGUCCCUGCUGACUGACUUAGUGUCCCUUAACUCUGAAAGAUAUAGGAUGUCCAGUGUUCAUUCACCAUUUAUACCCGAAAGCAGCUGCUGCUACUCUGAAGGCAGCAAAGAACUGGGAUGUUAAUGACAGGAGACCAGGGUGAGAACUGACUGUUGGCCUGUGGACAGAAAUACAAAGGAGAAUUGAACUCUGUCUGGGAUUGGGAGGAUAGGAAGGGUGAGUCAGGCUGGAGCAUCUGGCUCAAUGGGAUGAACAGGAAAAGGAAGACUGUCAGAAACAAAUGCUAACACAGAGAUUGUCAGGGUUAGGAGACGGAAGAGGACAGAGCACCCGAGGCAUGCUGCACAGAGGGUGGCCGCCCCCUGUGGAGGAAUGCAUGGGUGGAAUGGGACUGUAGGGGUCAAGCAAGUUCACUCGUCACCUUGUAUUCAGAAUCCAAACACUUCCUGUUCAGGGUUAAUUCUAUAGAAGAGACUCUGCCUCUUCCCACAGCAUCACACGGGAGACAGAUGUUGCUUUUCCCAGUUCCCUGGCAGUAAGGACAUGGCAUGGAGCCCAGGAUCAGUCAGCUGCUCUAGCUCAGAAGUUUAAGAUUUAAGGGUGUAAUGCUAUCUUAGCACAGGUUUCCCAAGACACGGAGACUAGGAGAAAGAAACUUAGAUGCCAUAUUUCUAUGGGGAGAGUAUUAGCCUGUGGCAGAAGGAACAGUGGAGGUGAGACAGAGCAGGAAGGAAAGUAUGAAGGGAUGUAUUUCUGAGCUGGCCACAGCUCCUCAAGAAGACAGUGAGUGGUUCAACUGUGAGCUCUAUCAACAGCAGGUGCAGGAAAUGUGGUCAGGGCAGUGUGUGGGCAGGCUCUACACUGGUGUGUGCAGGCUAGAUUAGCCUGGAGCUUCUUGGGCUCAUGUCACAAUGGCAAGAUGCUGGCUAUAUUGUUACUUUUCUUAUUGCUGGGGCAAAGCGCCUGACAAGGAACAACUUAAGGAAGCGUUGUGUGACACUAUUCCCCGGGAGAUAGGAAGAAAUGUCUACUUACGCCAGAUAGGGAACCGACAACAGACCAAAGUUAAGAUACCACCCAAGUCCAACUUGGUGGACCAAUAAGCUUUACUGGGGUAACUUACAUGAGCAGAAAUAAUUCAAAGACAGUUGCAUCACCCAGAACUCACCACAGCUCAUGAAAUCUGGGAAGCUGGAGCUCAGUGCACAACCUACAGGCAGCUCAACAGGCUGGAGGGUCUCCUUUCCAUACAGCUCAGUUGGGCUAAGCCUCUUUGGGGAGCUCUGCUAGUCUCUGAUUCUUCCAGGCUGCUCAGCUUGCUCUGAAAAUGGGAGACAGCCCAGCCUCUCUGAGUGUAUCCCUUCACAUUUCUUACUGCGUAUAAAUGCUUGGGGAGGGAGAGUCCUCGUCUGGUUUGUUUCAGGGACUUCCUGAAUCCUCUGAGUUAUUUACUUCUGGGCUUAAAGGGCUUCUCGGUCUGAUGGGAUGUUUUACCUCCUGUAGGUGUAAUUUUCUGUCCCACCAGCCAGCUCCCAAAUAACCACAUAGAGACUUAUUAUUAGCUCUUAUAACUUAAAUUAACCCAUUUCUAUUCAUUUACUUGUGCCACGUGGCUCAUGGCUUAUUUCCUCAUUGUGUACAUGACCUGCUUCCUCUGCAUCUGGCUGGCAGCUCCGCCCCUCUUCAUCCCAGAGAGCUCUCUCCCUCUCCACAAGUCCCACCUAACCUCCUCCUGCCUAGCCAAUUGGCCACUGGGCUCUUUAUUAAACCAAUGAGAGCAAUUUAUAUUCAUAGUGUCUAGAAAGAUUAUUCUACAACAACCUCCCCUCACAACAUCCUGUUGUUUCACCUCCCUUUUAACAUGCCAUGUCCUCGUGAGAUUUUCCAUUAGAAUAAUGAGCUUCUGAUUAAGAUGGAAGGUUUCAGUCUUAGGGUAAAAUCCUGCACCACAGAGCUUACAUUUUGAGGCUACACAAUCUACCAGGGGUGAGGGGCAGGGAGGAGAUGAAUGGUGGCAGGAGCAGGAGACUGCUGGCCACACUGCAUUCACAGUCAUAAAGUACAAAGGGAACAAGAAGUGUCCACCCCCACCUGACCCUCUACUAGAAACCCUCAAGAUCAGUCCCCAGUGGUACCUCAUUUCCUUCAGCAAGGCUUCAGUUCGCACAACCUUCUCAACUAGUGCUACCAGCUUGUUUAUCAAAUGUUCUCACAGGAGCUUCCAGUAGACAUUACUUUUAAUCUACACUACUAACCAUUCAAAGCCCAACUACAUUCCAGUGAGCUCAAUAUAUAGGUAAAUUUACAUAGUUAAGUAGGAGGUUAAUAAAAUAGGUGAGGUGAUGAGAUUUACAGCAUAAUUUCACUCACCAAAAGACAAGCAGAACCAUCCAUAAGGCUGUGUCUAGGAAGCCACCUUGCAAGAGGCCCAGAUCUGAGGGCAUAGGACUCAAUACUUUUGGCGUGUUAUGGAAACUGGUCUUGGACCAGUAAGUGGUAAAAGAAACCCAGAGAACUACUUAAGGACAGAUCUUAGUGUUCAGGUUGGUUCUGCUAGCAGUGAUAGUGAAAUAAUUGCCCCCUUAGAUAGGGAAACAAUGAGCAAUUGUUUUGUUUUUACUUUUUCUUUUUCUUUUUUAACUGUUAGUGGAUGGUGUAAGCCACUGGAUUUUCUUUCAGUAAGAAAGUCUUAAAUUACUAGGGAGGAAUUUUCUUGCCCGCACUUGACACUCCUGAUGUUUAUCAUGAUCCAUUAUUGGUUGCUUUACAAAAUGCAGUAUUCUUCAUUUGCUCCAGAUGAAGGAGUGUACAAACACACAGAUACACACAGGCACUUGAGAUAAGCAAAAUAAAUAAAUAAAUAAAUAAUAUUUUUGUGAUUCCAGAAUCUAUCAAGGAGAAAGGGGAUUUAUUAGAGUGGAUUGCAGGCUGUGGUCCUGCCAGUCCAACAAUGGCUGUCUAACGACAGUAAAUCCAAGAAUCCAGUAGUUCAGUCCAUGAGGCUGGAUGUCUCAGCUGGUCUUCAAUAUACACUGGAAUCCUGAAGAAGUAGACUCUAUGCUGGUGAAGGAAUGGACUUGCCAGACAAAGUGAGGGCACACAGGCAAAGAGAGCAAGCUUCCUUCUUCCGUGUCAUUUAUAGAGGCUGCCAGCAGAAGGUGUGGCCCAGAUUAAAGGUAUAUCUUCCCACCUUAAUGAUGUGGGUUAAAAGUGAGUCUGCUCAUUUCAAAUGGUUUUAAUUAAGAAAAAAAUCCUUCACAGGUGUAUCCAGUGGCUUGGGUUUUAGUUAAUUCCAGAUGUAGUCAAGUUGGUAACCAAGAAUAACCAUCACAUACAUCCUAUCAAAUUUUUAAAAUACUAUAUCAUAGAGUGGAAGACAAGAACUGGGUAGUGUUUGCUGGAGGUCAGUGUGUAUGCCAUGUGUUCCUUCACUUUAAACUUACAAACCACAUAUGAUGAGAGGCACUGCAGAAACUUGCAACAUGACCAAGGCAAUGAUUCACAGAAGUUUCUUGGAAAUCUAAAUAUCUGAUUUUGUAGUAUCCUCUCUGUCUCUGUCUCUGUCCCUCUCCUGUAUCUUUAUGUAUCCUUUUCUGUUAUCUAUGAAUUCCUUCUUGUAUUUAAUGCAGCAUUUCACAUAUAGUGAGAAAUGAUGUUCGAAAAUGUUCAGCAAAUAUAGUUGGUGUCAUGCCAUUUGUUACCAAAGAAAAAGCCUUGCAGCCUAAUUAAGCAGCUACUUUGUAUUCACUCUGCACACUGUAGCAAUGGAUUUUCAUUUUCUUCUGGACCUUUACAGCAUAGCAAUCUUGAUGUCUCAUCAAGCUUGUUAAAAGAAGAAAUUACCUGUCUGCAUAGUCUGUGCAUGUAUAAGUCUUUUGUUUUGGAAAAUGACAGUGACUGUGAUUACUAUCUGCAAAUCACUCAAGUGACGGCAUAUAAUUAACCGUCAUUUCUACACUGUACCCACAAAGGUUCCCACCUGAGUUUAACCGCUUGUUACCAUUUGUCUGUGGUUUGCUCUUCUCCUCAUCAUUUGUAACCUGCCAUUUAGAAAGCUUUGUUCAGGCUAUGUUUUUUGCACCAGCCAGGGACCUCAUGUCUUGACAGCUCUUAGUGGUGCAUACUCACACAUGUAUUGAGUCUUACUAUAUUCCAGGCACUGUGGGACUUAGGCACCAACUGGGAACCAGCCAAUUAGAAUUACCUUGGUUCUUCACAUGAACUCUCAGGGUUUGUGUUACUUACAUGAAAAUCUGCAAGACUGUAACAAAGACCCAACAUUCCUAAAGACCCAAAAAGAUUAUUUCUCUUAUCACAUGGUCCAGAAUGGACAGAGCUUCUCUGAUCUACGUGGCCAUUCAGGGACCCAGCUUCUCUCCUCCUGGCUUGCACUGUGUCCUGGCUCCUGGCCCUCACUCUGUUACUAGCUUCAAUCAUGGAGGUGGGGAAAGCAAGGAGGAGGCUGGAGGGCAGUUCCUUAAGCUCCAGGCCUGAACUUCUGUCCACAAUUCACUGCUUGCACCCAGAUGCCAGCAGACUUAAGAAAUGGUAUUUCCUAACUACAAAUGUCCAUGCACAACCCUCAUUUUUAGGGAGGAGUGGACAUCACUUAAAAACAAAACAGUAACAACAACAACAAAAACGUUGUAGUUAGGAAUUUGUUGCUGAGAUAAAGCAUUGAUCCAAACCCACAUGAGGAGGAAAGUGUUUAUUUCAGUUAAUAGGUUAUAGUCCAUCACCAAGGGAAGCCGAGGCAGGAAUGUGGAGGCAGAAACUGAAGCACAGACCAUGGAAAAACCCUACUUACUGGCUUGUUCUCAGGAUCACAGUUGGUUAUCUUUUUUGUACAGCCUAGGCCUACCUGCCUAAGUAUAGUACUACUCACAGUGAGAUGAGCAUUCCCUCAUCAAUCAACAAUCAAUAAAAUGCUCCAUAGAUAUGCCCUCAGGUCAAUCUGAUACAAGCAAUUUCUGAAUUGAGGGUCCCCUUUCCAAGUGUGUCAAGUUGAAAGCUAAGAUUAGCUAUGGCAACAACUAAGGGUUUGCUUCAGCUCUCCUGCAUGUCCACCUCUUAGGUUUCAUACUGUGGUGGUUUGAGUAUGGUUGGUCCCCAUAAGCCCAUAGAGAGUGGCACUAUUAGGCAUGGCUUUGUUGAAGUAGGUGUGGCCUUGUUGAAGUAGAUGUGGCCUUAUUGAAGGAAGUAUGUCACCAUGGGAGUGGGCUUUGAGGUCUCCUAUGCUCAAGCUCAGUGUGACACUCAGACCACUUCCUGUUGCUUGUGAGUCAAGAUGUAAAAACUCUCAGCUCCUUCUCUAGCACCACGUCUGCCUGCUUGCUGCCUUGAUUCCCUUGAUGAUGAUAGUGGACUGGACCUCUGAACUGUAAGCAAGCCACCACAAUGAAAUGUUUUCCUUUAUAACGGCUUCCAUGGUCAUGGUAUCUCUUCACAGCAACAGAAACCAUAACUAAGACACACACAUUAUUAGUUGACUCAUUAUUUCAGAGAGUUUGGUCUAUGCUUGCUUGGCCUCAUGCACUUGGAGAGAAUGUUAUGGUGUGGGAGUAUGUGGCAGGGGAGAGCUAUUCACUACAUGGCUCUCCAGGAGGCAGAGAGCAAAAGAGCAAGUGGUCAGGAAUAAUGUACUUGCUCUGAAUAACUUACAUCCUUCAAUUAGACUCACCUCCUAAAGUUCCCAGAGUCUCUCAAAAUAGUACCACCAACUGAGGACCAAGUACUCAAAACUUGAGUCUCUGGAGGUUACUUCAUAUUUAAUCCAUAACAAAAGUCAUGAGACGAUAAGAACUUGAACCCAAUGGUGGCAUGUUGACCUCACUCAGUCUCUUUGUUACCAUAUUUGAUCAGGUGAUAAAGCAUAUCGCAGAAGGCCCAGAACUUGUUUAAAUAUACCUUGACUGAUACUCCUGGGCAGAUUGAUGCAAUCACCUGAGACAGUUAUUACUCAGUUCCUGUCAUUCUCAGUGACAAGAUGCUGGGCUUGAGUCCUGCUUCAUCCUGGUAUGUUGGGACUAUUGCACACUAGCCCAGUCUGGGAAGGGGUUGGGGAGCACGGCCAGGACCAAGUGAAAGAACACACCCAGAAGGCUGUGUUGGUGGACAUCUGGUUUAUUUGAAGGGGACAGGAGACAGUUAUACUCUAGGAAGAAUGGCUGGUUGGAUCCAGUGGUAUGUCAUUGACUGGGGCAAGAACAUCAAGGGUGUUUUAUUUGCAUAUAUGGGAGCAGCAGAGGCCAGGGGAAGGAAACUUGCAAGGUCAUAUAGAAAAGAAAGGAAGUCCAGCCUGGAAUGUUUCAGCGUCAGAUAAGCAGCAACCAGUCCUUGCAACCUUGGAGACAUGUGAGCGUACACGCACUGGGACUGUCUCAGAGAAACAAAACAAACCGAAGAACAAUUUUCCUCAGAAGUGCAGAGUUUCUCUUUUAAAGGAAAUGUAAUGGUUCAGUGACGUCAUGGAUAGAAAACUCAAAACUGUCAGGGCAGAGGCCAGUCUCCUUUCUGCUGUGCUUAUCAAGGAAGGAUCCAUCCUCUGUCCUUGGAAACUGAUAUCCUUCAAACCUGAAAUGUCAAGUUUUAUCACUGCAACUGGAAUACUUUUUGCUGCUGCUGAAAGACAGAGUUACUUCCAUGGCGACAUCAACUCUCUUUGUUUAGAAUGUGUAUAUGACUUUUACUACCCAGCAUAGGACUCUACACUCAGAAUUGCCCUGACUGUGGCAGAAAGAGGGAAGGAUACUUUAUCUUUCCUGUUGUGCCUAGGGACCAUGAACACACGUAGUCUAUGGUUAGAAAAUGGGCCUCGCAUUGGGCAGCUCAUUAUAAGGAGCCAGAUUUGUUGAAAAUCAUAAGCAAAACUAAGGAUUUUGAGUAAGAAUCUGUUUAAAUGGUAUCUCAGAUGAAGAGUUUUAAUUUAAAAAGUAAUCAAAUGUGUAAAUGUAACUACUCGCUAGGGGUUGAUAUUGAUUUACAUUUAUAAUUACAAAAUAAAUUGGUUAAAAAAAUAACAGCUUUUGCUGUUAUAAAAGCAAUAUUGGAUACAAGGUUUUUGUAGAGGAGACAUUUCCAAGCCAGCCGAUAAGCAGCCUCUACCCACAGUGCUUCCAAGUUCUGUCUUAUUUGGUUAAAAUGAAGAAGCCAUCUAUCUAUGUCUCCUAUAUUGACUCCACAGUGCUAAGGGGUUAAUAUUGUCACCUUGAUUUUAUCCACAGAGAACCAGAGGCUCAUAGCAGUUCUACUAUUUGGUGGAGGCCAUAGACUUUACCAUUCUGCCUCCAGGUUCUCUCAUGAUUGAAUGGCCAGAACUCCUUCCUGGAGCCACCCUUAGGCCAACUCCUGAAUGGGUGAAGUCAGUAUUGCUUCCCAGGCCUGGGAAGAUGUGUGUGUGUGUGUGUGUGUGUGUGUGUGUGUGUGUGUGUGUGUGUGUGUGUGUGUAUGUGUGUGCGCGCGCGUGCAGACAGAUACAAUUCCAGCAAAAGCCCUCCUUUUCUGGUCAUUUAGGGCCAUCUCUUUUACAUUGUUGCCCUCCCUCCAGUCCUUCUGGUAGAUGAUAGGGAAGUAUCUCCAAUGAGCAAGAGUAUCUCCACUUCAGCAGUAGUGUCUCUUUGUAACCCUGCUCUCACCAACCCCCAACUCUCACUAGACUCAGACCUUGGACCUGUCAAGGAUUAUCACUCCCAACUAGAAAUAUUUACUUAGUGUCUUCUGAGCUUCCAGCACUGUGUUUUGUUUUUUGUACUCCUAUUAUAGUCAAUAUGGAAAAUAAACAAGAAUAAAAUAUAAUGAAUAUACA